rnacentral:tRNA from 1 species
GAGGGGGUGGUUUAAAAAAAAUGUAGGGUUGUCAGCCCUUCGAUGUAAUUAACUUUACCCCCCUUU